rnacentral:rRNA from 1 species
AGUGAACGCUGGCGGUAGGCCUAACACAUGCAAGUCGAACGGCAGCACAGAGGAGCUUGCUCCUUGGGUGGCGAGUGGCGGACGGGUGAGGAGUACAUCGGAAUCUACUCUGUCGUGGGGGAUAACGUAGGGAAACUUACGCUAAUACCGCAUACGACCUACGGGUGAAAGCAGGGGAUCUUCGGACCUUGCGCGAUUGAAUGAGCCGAUGUCGGAUUAGCUAGUUGGCGGGGUAAAGGCCCACCAAGGCGACGAUCCGUAGCUGGUCUGAGAGACUGAUCCACCACACUGGAACUGAGACACGGUCCAGACUCCUACGGGAGGCAGCAGUGGGGAAUAUUGGACAAUGGGCGCAAGCCUGAUCCAGCCAUACCGCGUGGGUGAAGAAGGCCUUCGGGUUGUAAAGCCCUUUUGUUGGGAAAGAAAUCCAGCUGGUUAAUACCCGGUUGGGAUGACGGUACCCAAAGAAUAAGCACCGGCUAACUUCGUGCCAGCAGCCGCGGUAA